rnacentral:rRNA from 1 species
GACAGAGGGUGCAAACGUUGCUCGGAAUUACUGGGCGUAAAGGGCGUGUAGGCGGGAAGGCAAGUCGGGCGUGAAAGCCCCAGGCUCAACCUGGGAACUGCACUCGAAACUGCCUUUCUUGAGUGCCGGAGAGGAAAGCGGAAUUCCUGGUGUAGAGGUGAAAUUCGUAGAUAUCAGGAGGAACACCAGUGGCGAAGGCGGCUUUCUGGACGGUAGCUGACGCUGAGACGCGAAAGCGUGGGGAGCAAACAGG